rnacentral:rRNA from 1 species
UACGUAGGGACCAAGCGUUGUUCGGAUUUACUGGGCGUAAAGGGCGCGUAGGCGGCGUGUUAAGUCAGCUGUGAAAUCUCCAAGCUUAACUUGGAACGGUCAGCUGAUACUGAUGUGCUAGAGUGCAGAAGGGGCAAUCGGAAUUCUUGGUGUAGCGGUGAAAUGCGUAGAUAUCAAGAGGAACACCUGAGGUGAAGACGGGGUUGCUGGGCUGACACUGACGCUGAGGCGCGAAAGCUAGGGUAGCAAACGGG